CUUCCCUGGCAAUGAGCAAAGAGACACCUUGUUGAUGGUGUUGUUCUUGUACCAAUCAGGUACAGAGCAGAUGGCAGGCCUUUGUUCAUUCUAUCUUGAUGCCUGGCUAGGUAGCCAAAGCUAUUUUAUGCCUAGGACUCAUAA